rnacentral:lncRNA from 1 species
GGGAGCCUCGUUCAGCUCUUCCCCUCCACGUUUCCAUCAUGCAAAAGGGCAACUCCUCCAAGAACAUCUCCUCAGACCUUCAAAAGAGAGAACCCAGGCCAUAAAUCGUCACUCACCCUUCUCUCCUCACCUUUCCUCUCGUCCCUGGACACAUCAGUCUGUUUACGAGCCAAAAAACACCUAGUUAGAGACCUCCGAUCAAAAAACUUUCUUCACCAAAGUUGUUCGUCUAUGUCUCCUCUAUUUUAGCCUCAAAAUUUCAGCUCCAUCGGAGUCAAUUUGAAUCCUGUACACCCCUCGAAGCGGAAGCUGUUCCGGAGCAAGCCUGUUCCGGAUUUCUGCUUGAAUUCCCUCUCUUGCUCUACCCGAAUCCCCAACACCUUGCUUGAGACUGAUACCAACAGUUGGUAAGAUUCUUAAACUAUCAAGUUCCUAAUUUAUUCCUCAAUUUUUAGGCUCAAUACGCUCAAAACAACCCAUCUACAUAUUGAGCAGUCUCUGUUUCACUUUGCAUAUUCGAGAUUGAGCGAACUUCUUGGCCUGCGGCUGGACUCGAUCCAAUCAGCUUCCUCAG